rnacentral:rRNA from 1 species
GCUUGCUCCCUUAGGUCAGCGGCGGACGGGUGAGUAACACGUGGGUAACCUGCCUGUAAGACUGGGAUAACUCCGGGAAACCGGGGCUAAUACCGGAUGCUUGAUUGAACCGCAUGGUUCAAUCAUAAAAGGUGGCUUUUAGCUACCACUUACAGAUGGACCCGCGGCGCAUUAGCUAGUUGGUGAGGUAACGGCUCACCAAGGCGACGAUGCGUAGCCGACCUGAGAGGGUGAUCGGCCACACUGGGACUGAGACACGGCCCAGACUCCUACGGGAGGCAGCAGUAGGGAAUCUUCCGCAAUGGACGAAAGUCUGACGGAGCAACGCCGCGUGAGUGAUGAAGGUUUUCGGAUCGUAAAACUCUGUUGUUAGGGAAGAACAAGUACCGUUCGAAUAGGGCGGUACCUUGACGGUACCUAACCAGAAAGCCACGGCUAACUACGUGCCAGCAGCCGCGGUAAUACGUAGGUGGCAAGCGUUGUCCGGAAUUAUUGGGCGUAAAGCGCGCGCAGGCGGUUUCUUAAGUCUGAUGUGAAAGCCCCCGGCUCAACCGGGGAGGGUCAUUGGAAACUGGGGAACUUGAGUGCAGAAGAGGAGAGUGGAAUUCCACGUGUAGCGGUGAAAUGCGUAGAGAUGUGGAGGAACACCAGUGGCGAAGGCGACUCUCUGGUCUGUAACUGACGCUGAGGC